UUCUUCGGGGCGGGGCGUAAUUCCCCACCGGCGGUAUAGUCCGCGAACCGCCUUUGGCGGCUGAUCCGGUGUGAUUCCGGAACCGACAGUAUAGUCUGGAUGAGAGAAGAA
rnacentral:ncRNA from 1 species